rfam:Gossypium hirsutum cultivar TM-1 chromosome 1, whole genome shotgun sequence
UAUUAAAAAUUUUAUUCAUUUGUAUUAUUAAAAACUGGUAUGAUUAACAGAAUAACUAGAAAGUGACACAUGACAUACCACAUGUACCUUAGACUAAUAUAUAAAGACCAAUUUUUAAUAGUAGAAUUAGAUGAAAUUUUUAAUA